CAUAAACAAAAAAAAAUAUGCAGACAAGAGUACCGAUUGGGUGAAGGUGCAAUGGUGCAUACACACGACACGAACAUAUUCAAAUCAUCAUUAUGAAUUGAUCCAAGAUUCACUGCUAAGGGGCUUGACCACUUCCACUGGUAGGAGCCAUCUGGUAACAGGUGUUUUUUGUGUCCGGAGAUCCCUGCAGGAAAGGCACCACAGAAUGAUGGAUUUUACCAGUGGAUUCAAAACCAACACUUCUCAUACUUCAAACAGACAGAGCUCUACCACCACUUCUCCCUCUGCAGAGAGCUGCUCCAGGAUAUUAAGGAGAAGACUUGGGGACCUUCUGCGUGAGAGUGGACCACUUGCUUCACAUGGCCCUUCGGAGGGACCCAGGCCAGAGGGCUCACUACCAGGCCCACUACGCCUUCAUCAAGGCCUUCCAACUCCCGGUGGGCUCCAGCAUCAUGGCCGCCUGUCGCCUCACCUAUGAUUCUGGCUCGUACGUUCUACUGAUUCUUUGAAGAAGAGGACAAAUGUCUUCCCACACAUCUGGUUGGUAUCUCAAUGGGAAUGUCCCAUUGAAAUUAAAAAACAAUUUUUCAAGGUAGUCCUGGCCAAGAGGCAGCAAAAAAGACAGCAAAAAGCAAAAGAGUUGUCAGUUGUUGGUGCACAGCGCCCCCCGGGGGACGGGAUGCGCCGAGGCAGAAGGUGUGGCGGAUAAGGGUGUUGCAGGAACCUGGGUCAGCGAUCUUCUGCUACACUGCAGUGGUACCUCUGAACGAGGGCUCCCCUUGGGGGACGUCAGGCGAGGGGCGACCAUCCAUCUGGACUACAAGAAGCAUGAGAAAGAAACGUUCUUGGAAAGCCGUCAGCAGGCUCAUCCGAAGCAUCUGUCCAUUUCGACGUCGCACCAUGAGGAACUCUGAAACGUGGACCCCGGUUUUGAGGCCUACCUCGUACACCGGCGGGCUGUUUACUCCACAAGCACGCGGUUUUAUAGAUGGACACUUUCUAACGAUCCGUCUCUGUGUCGUUAGGGAGUCCGUCCUGUAUUCGUGGACAGGCCUACAUGGCCUCCAUUUUAAAGGGGUGAUAUUAUGCCACCAGGUAUGAGUCUGACUAGCCAUUACAGGCCUUUCCCUGUGUUUGGUGACCUCAGUAGUGGGCGUGUCCACCUAGAUGUAUGUUGGAUAGACAAGCAACAAUUUGCCACAGUCCACACUAGGUAGGCUGGUGGAAUGAUCUAUCCAGCAUAAAUCUAGGUUGACAUACCAACUAAUGAAGUCAAUAGGGAACAGGGAAGGCUGAUUUUCAAACGGCUUGUAACGGCCAAUCACCCCCACACCUGGUGGAAUGAUAUCGCCCCUUUAAAUCGCAUGUCGUGUUGUAUUUGACCACCGUACCGCAUGCACCUUCAGGAGGCCAGCGUGCCCUGCUGACAGAGAUGAGCCCUCAGAAGAGAGAGACUACAGCUCGCUCAAACUGAAGGCUGACGUCGUCGUUGAUUCUAUCUCCUGCGCUGAAAUGUUCGACCGGCUCAGGGCAGAUCAACAUUUCAAUGGAUAUGUCGCUGUCCAUCAGGCAGCUUGGCGGGCAGAGUGGACAGGAGUCUAUUUCCUGAGGCCAUAUUCUCUGUGUUUCCUACUCCGCUCUACUGCGUGCUUGCAAGGAUACAGACGAGACCAGGUCCACAUCACAUCAAUAGUACAGGAACAGGUUAAAUAAGAUACAUUUAGAUGCAUUGAGAACAUUGUGUUACAAAUGUUGUUGUUUUUGUCUUAUCAUUUAUUGAGCAAAAGUCUGAACCGAGAUGGACCAAACAGCGACUGGUUAUUUGCUGCCACCUUAAUGAAAAAUUGCCCCACUGUCCAGCGUUACUUCUCCUUUAGAACGAAAAUAUAGCAUAAGCAUACCGCAAAUGCUGUCAGUACUCUUUGCAUACAACGUAGAGCCAGCAUACCCCAGCAGGGGGCAGCACCUACCAGAUUAACGUCUGGCAUAAAGGGUUUUCACGUCCGAUGUCAAUGCAAAGCCAGGGUAGCAUUUUAUAAAUCGAGUUGACCUAUGAAAACAAUAGAAUUAUGCCUAUGAAUAGUUUUGUCCAACUGAUGAUGUGUUUUGUAAGAUUAUUAAAAAAAAC
ensembl:lncRNA